GACGGGGGAUGCAAGCGUUAUCCGGAAUCACUGGACGUAAAGCGUCUUUAGGUGGUGAUGCAAGUCACUGGUGCAAAACUCUGGCUCAACCGGAGGAAAGCCAGUGAAACUGCAUGACUAGAGUGUGGGAGAGGUAGAAGGAAUUCCCUGAGUAGCGGUGAAAUGCGUAGAUACAGGGAAGAACACCGGAGGCGAAAGCGUUCUACUGGAACACAACUGACCCUGAGAGACGAAAGCUAGGGGAGCGAAUGGG
rnacentral:rRNA from 1 species